rnacentral:rRNA from 1 species
UGGGGAAUAUUGGACAAUGGGGGAAACCCUGAUCCAGCAAUGCCGCGUGGGUGAUGAAGGCCUUCGGGUUGUAAAGCCCUUUUGGCGGGGACGAUGAUGACGGUACCCGCAGAAUAAGCCCCGGCUAACUUCGUGCCAGCAGCCGCGGUAAUACGAAGGGGGCUAGCGUUGUUCGGAAUUACUGGGCGUAAAGGGCGCGCAGGCGGCUUUGUAAGUUGGGCGUGAAAGGCCUGGGCUUAACCCGGGAAUGGCGCUUGAGACUGCAAGGCUCGAGUACGGGAGAGGAUGGUGGAAUUCCCAGUGUAGAGGUGAAAUUCGUAGAUAUUGGGAAGAACACCGGUGGCGAAGGCGGCCAUCUGGACCGUAACUGACGCUGAGGCGCGAAAGCGUGGGGAGCAAACAGGAUUAGAUACCCUGGUAGUCCACGCCGUAAACGAUGCGUGUUGGACGUUGGGAGGCUUGCCUUCCGGUGUCGCAGCUAACGCGUUAAACACGCGCCUGGGGAGUACGGCCGCAAGGUUAAAACUC